rnacentral:rRNA from 1 species
GAUGAACGCUGGCGGCGUGCCUAAUACAUGCAAGUCGAGCGAACAGACGAGGAGCUUGCUCCUCUGACGUUAGCGGCGGACGGGUGAGUAACACGUGGAUAACCUACCUAUAAGACUGGGAUAACUUCGGGAAACCGGAGCUAAUACCGGAUAAUAUAUUGAACCGCAUGGUUCAAUAGUGAAAGACGGUUUUGCUGUCACUUAUAGAUGGAUCCGCGCCGCAUUAGCUAGUUGGUAAGGUAACGGCUUACCAAGGCAACGAUGCGUAGCCGACCUGAGAGGGUGAUCGGCCACACUGGAACUGAGACACGGUCCAGACUCCUACGGGAGGCAGCAGUAGGGAAUCUUCCGCAAAGGGCGAAAGCCUGACGGAGCAACGCCGCGUGAGUGAUGAAGGUCUUCGGAUCGUAAAACUCUGUUAUUAGGGAAGAACAAAUGUAUAAGUAACUAUGCACGUCUUGACGGUACCUAAUCAGAAAGCCACGGCUAACUACGUG